rnacentral:rRNA from 1 species
AACUGGGGAUAAUACUGGAUAUUAGGCUAUGCCUGGAAUGGUUUGCCUUUGAAAUGUUUUUUUUCGCCUAAGGAUAGGUCUGCGGCUGAUUAGGUCGUUGGUGGGGUAAUGGCCCACCAAGCCGAUGAUCGGUACGGGUUGUGAGAGCAAGGGCCCGGAGAUGGAACCUGAGACAAGGUUCCAGACCCUACGGGGUGCAGCAGGCGCGAAACCUCCGCAAUGUACGAAAGUGCGACGGGGGGAUCCCAAGUGUUAGGCUUUUUUGUAUGACUUUUCAUUAGUGUAAAAAGCUUUUAGAAUAAGAGCUGGGCAAGACCGGUGCCAGCCGCCGCGGUAACACCGGCAGCUCGAGUGGUAGCUGUUUUUAUUGGGCCUAAAGCGUUCGUAGCCGGUUUGAUAAGUCUUUGGUGAAAGCUUGUAGCUUAACUAUAAGAAUUGCUGGAGAUACUAUUAGACUUGAAGUCGGGAGAGGUUAGAGGUACUACCGGGGUAGGGGUGAAAUCCUAUAAUCCUGGGAGGACCACCUGUGGCGAAGGCGUCUAACUGGAACGAUCUUGACGGUGAGUAACGAAAGCCAGGGGCGCGAACCGGAUUAGAUACCCGGGUAGUCCUGGCCGUAAACGAUGUGGACUUGGUGUUGGAAUGGCUUUGAGUUGUUCCGGUGCCGAAGGGAAGCUGUUAAGUCCACCGCCUGGGAAGUACGGUCGCAAGACUGAAACUUAA